rnacentral:rRNA from 1 species
CACGUAGGGGGCGAGCGUUGUCCGGAUUUAUUGGGCGUAAAGAGCUCGUAGGCGGCUCGGUAAGUCAGGUGUGAAAACUCUAGGCUCAACCUAGAGACGCCACCUGAUACUGCUGUGGCUAGAGUCCGGUAGGGGAGCAUGGAAUUCCUGGUGUAGCGGUGAAAUGCGCAGAUAUCAGGAGGAACACCAGUGGCGAAGGCGGUGCUCUGGGCCGGAACUGACGCUGAGGAGCGAAAGUGUGGGGAGCGAACAGG